UUUGCUUUGCCUUGCUUUUGUCAGGGACGCGGAGUAAUCCUUCUAUCUUUGAUUUCUGUCUGUUCCAGGCAAGAAGAAUUGAGUGAGGAAUGUAUGGAGGAAUGUCUUGCAAAGCUGUCCAAGCUGAAAGAUGUGGAGUCACCUAAAAAGUCCUAUCAGUUCCAUGGCGAAUAUUUAUUUUUUUUAAAGCGACAUGAUUCAAAUGAAUCAAUGAAGAAAUAGCAGAACUUUUGUACUAGAUCUAUGGAAAAAAAGGAGUCAUGUAAACCUAAGAAAAAUGGAGCUGGCUGUUUCAAGUGCAUCCAGGAAAUAUAAAGGAUUCAAAUGAAUCAAUGAAGAAAUAGCAGAACUUUUGUACUAGAUCUAUGGGAAAAAAGGAGUCAUGUAAACCUAAGAAAAAUGAAGCUGGCUGUUUCAAGCGCAUCCAGGAAAUA